UUCUCUUUUGUGUGCAAAGAAGUGGCUAGAAAAAAAAAACAAAAAAAGAAGUGGGGAACUAUCUUGUAAAGGGAAAUAUGAUUUACAAAUGCAGCUGCAAGAAAAAAAUAUAAAUAUAAUAAUUAAAUGGUGAAUUGUAUGUCUUUCAAUUUUCGUGCAGAAUGAUCAGAUCUAAGUAUGAUAACAACAGUUGGGCCCAAAUAUGGACCAUUGGGUUAAGCCCAUGGAAAUCAUGUAAUCAUGUUUGAAAGGAUGUAGAAAAUCCGUACGUUCCUUUACCAGUCACACCCAAAUUUUAUAUUA